AAUCCAUGUUGUAGGGUGGGCAGCGUCGAAUCAAAUCUUUACACCUUUCCCAUGCUUCAUAGAGUGAUUCAAAAUCAUGCUGCUUAAAUUGACCAAUCUCACUCCUGAGUUG